GUUGAGGGAGGUGUCCAUGAAAAACCGUUUCGGCCUUCAGCCUGAAUUAAACCAAGGGAAUGCAUAGUAACAAGUCCAAAUACGAUGCUGCAAAUGAGUCCAUGCUUCCAUUGCUCAAACACGCAUUUCGGCAUCCAAAGCUUCAACGGAGUCCAGGCACCAGAGCGAAUCUGGAAUCGUCCACGCCAUGAUCCUGUUCGCAUCCUCUGUCGUCCUUGUUCUUACUUCAGAAUGCUUAAAUGGAAGCCAAGAACUUCAUACGAAAAUCCAAACUCGCGACUUCAAGAACCUUACGUUGAUUACAGAGACCAGAAGCAGAAGAAAACUUACCGGAAAUCGCGAUGCAGCUGAAACAGCCACAAACAAAGCCGAAGAAAUUUUGAACCACGACGAACGCUUCUCAUUCCUGCAUCUUCAUUAUCAUCAAUGGCGUUUGUAUCCUGCUUCAGUUUGAGCAAGAGGAGAAAAUCGAUUUCAACAACGAUGCGUUCACAUUCUUCAUCUUUCAUUCGAAGCUCCAGAGGUUCGCCGAUUUGCAGGUCCGUGGCGUUCACCAACCGCGCGGUCUUCAUUGUUCGCCUCCAUUCAAAGCUCCCAAGACUCGAUGCUUCAGCUCAUGCUACCACCAUCUGCGCAUAAACAGAAGAAGAAAAACGAAGACUUUUGAAAGCGAAUUGAAAAAUCACCGGAUUCGAAGUUUCAAUCACGAAUAGGGUAUUGAAAUCCUUUUUGCUGUCAAAAUAAUAUGUAGGAUGCUUAUGGUAUGAAAAUAUAUGUUGAAUGUUGUAUAUGGAAAGGCAUGUGCUGCAGGUAUUAUGCUCAGAAGUGAAUCAGGUUGACCUUCAUGUCAAGGUUUGCCCGAAGAAAAGAAAUGGCUGCCAUAAUGCUCAGUAGAAACUUGGGUUCAACAUGAUUUCUUGAUGAAAUGGGGCUGACUUAUUAAUGGCAUUUAAGGUAAUUCCAUGGAAGAGGAAAUAGCUUGGCCUUGAAGGAAAAUGACAUGAAGCAUGGAGGGCAUGAUCAUGAAGAUGGAUCUUAAUGAUUGAAAGCCAAGACUAGAAUCACAUGUUAUUUUGUACUUGUUUGGAUUUACCUUUGUAAUUUGCUUAACAUGUAAACUUAUGCACUUAAAAUGGGAACUUUAGAAAUUGUACGGAGAUUUAUGAAAUGGUAUUAAAUAAAUUUCACAUUUUAUGGAGAA